UCAGGAAUAUAGGUGAAUAACAAAUAGGGCAGCAUAGCAAAUUGCUCAGACUCAAGCCAAAUUGAGGUCAACAUAGUAUGCCAAAAUAAGGCAAAUCCACCCCCCUACCACGAUACUUAACACACAGAAUACUAUGUGAUAUAGAAUGCAUUGAAGACCUAUGGUCACUGGUAGUUUAAGCCACAGGCCUUCCUCAUGUAACCAGAGACAGAAUGGGCUACUUGCAAAAAUAUAACUCCUUGUGUGUAUAUUAAAUUGAUAAAAUCUCUGGCAGUAAAGCCAGCCUGAAAGAAUGGCCUCACCAUCUUAGAAUACUCAGAUCUCAGCAGAACAUUGUAAGCCAUAUAAACAAACAGUAGCCGAAGAGUCAGCAACAGUGAACCCAUCUAAAAGAUUUAAGUGUUUAAAAUGGGCAAAAGCGAUUAGGGGAAAAAAACAGGUGAAUUUUAAAAUAAACCAGGGUAAGGUAAAUUCUAGAAAUAAUGGCAUUUGAAAUGAAAACCUCACUUAAGUUCACUGGAACAGUAAACAGGAGAUUGCUGAAUUUUCUGAAGACAGCAAUGACCUCACCUAGAUGACUGUCGUUUGGCGAACAUCAAGAUUUUGAUGUGUACUAUAAUGCUUAGUAUGUCCAAAUUUUCAAAAUCAAGUUUCUCAGGUAUUAUUUCUGCCAUAGGAGCUACAGUGUAGAGUAUCACAUAAAUAUCUUGGGCUAAAGAAAUGCAGUUUAUAUAUACCGUUGGAUUUUUAUAAUAAAGUUUUUUCCCCAAGAUCUGUUACUUUGCCAGAUAUACCGUUGGAUUUUUAUAAUAAAGUUUUUUCCCCAAGAUCUGUUACUUUGCCAGAAAUGCUUCUAGUAUGCUUCUAGAUAAAAUUAUUGCCCCUUCAGUGACUCAUGGUGUCCAAAUGAUCAUUUUAGUCUGUUGCUUUUUACAAGGGAGUAUUUCAAAUGUCUUAAGCUUUUGAUAGUUAUAAUUUAAGAACACAUAUAAAACAUUUCCGUAGGAAAUCUGUACACUCACGAGUGCCUGCUUAUCAGACAGCAUUCUUUUCAAACCUCUAAAAGGAAAAAGACAGUGGAGAGCAGAAUCAGUAAUCAUAUGGUGACUCUUGUUACCCAGGCUGAAGUGCAGUGGCCCCCAUAAAAGAUCCAGCCUCAAACUCCUGGACUGCCUCAGCCUCCCGAGCUGCUCAGAUUAUGCACCGCUAUUCCUGGCCUGAAGUUUGAACUAUAAAAAACCUUAAACAUAGCACACACAGAUCUAGUAACUGCAAACUGAAUAUAUUUAAAGAUGGUAGUGUCUGUACUGAACUUUAUUCCGCAUACAUAAUGCAGCAUACCACUUACCUAGCUUCUACCUUGGAUUAAAUAUUGAGUAACCUAGACAACUCAAGUGUAUGAGAUGUGCUUAAGUCAUGUGCAAAUAACGUUUCAUACAAGGGGGCUACAGCAUCCACAUUUUGGUAUUGUGGUUCCUGAAACUGAUGGCCCGUUCUCCCAUCAAGGGACUUUUAAUCGGGGCAUUAAGCAGCCAGCUUCACAAGCUCUAAUUGGCUAUGGGCUGGCUUCCUGACAUAACCCUGCCCCCAUCUUAACAUGCUGGAUUCAAGGCAUAUAAACUGGAACUGCUUUUCUGACAAUCCGGUUUUAAAGGCAGAAGGGAAUUCCACAUUCGGUUUCCAGUGCAAACCUACUAGAUUACAAAGCCAAUGCCCAAAAGCUGACCAUUGCCUAGGACCCUCCACAUUACCUACCUAGUUGAGCAGCCUUGAUUGCAACAUCUAACAUCUUAAUCAGAAUGAGGAAGAUAAGAAUAAAGACAACCCAAGUGGGAUGGACAUCUCCUUUUCCAAUUAAAACUCUCACUUGAGCAUCUUCGCAAGUGUGAUCAGAUUUUAGACCAAUUGUAUGGAAACUCCAAGCAAAAAAAGACCAUCUAGAUUUCUAGGGGUCCCCUGGUCUCCUCAAAGCAGGCUGCGGUUCAGCAGAGCUUCAGAACCAGUAUACAGGGUUUUUUGUGAUAAUAUUAACGCACUCAAGUAGCUGAAUCAUUCCACAUCUCAGUCUUUGAACUAUUUGUUCUGUUAAGUCCAUGCAACUCAACUGAUUUGUUACCAAUUCCCCUCCACUACCCCAAAACAAGCCAGUGUUAGUGCAUUACUAAAUAGUGGAAAUGUCAAAACUAUGUAGGGCCUGUCAACAUCUCAGUAUAUAUAGUUCGAAACCUUAAAGAGCGAAUUUAAGUAACAUGCAGUCCAGGUGUCGUGAUAGGUGUUUUCUACCUUUUUGCACUUUUCAACCAUCAGUGACGAACUGAGACUUGUUGCCUUAUAUUGUUAGCUCCCAAUACCUAUCUAGUAUUUAUUAGGUCAAGCAAUGUGGCAUCUACCAAAUUGGGCUACAUGGAAAACCUUACACAUACAGAAGAGAAAUCUGGUUUCACACUAGUGCAUAAACUGAGUAAGGGCACCCCCUUGAGUGUAACAGCUGGCAUCUAAGACAGUUCCCAAUCAAUGAUCCUUGCCUGCUUGGUAAUUGUACCAGGGAACAGAACCCUCCUACCACAUUCUGUGACCAUAAAGGAUGCAAGAUGGCACGACUACUUUGUAGAGUGUUCAUUUUACAGCUUUUCUUGCUCAAAUCACUCACCGAGGGAAGAUGACAACCAGCAUUAACUUUACAGCUGUUAGUAUGCCACUCUGGAUAUAAAAAUUCUCCAAUCCUAGUUUCCUGUGAUUGGAACCUUGAGCUCUACCCAGAAUCAGUUAAGUUGCUCCCAAUUGCUGACCCAUAGAUGCUGGUUUGUUUCUCUGAACUGCUCAAAGUAUUGAGGUAAGUUGUUACACAGCAAUAUAAAGCCUUGGCCAAAAAGCAGCCUUUCUUCACUUAGGGCACUAUCUCAAAGCUACAUAAGAACUACCUUAAACUUCAAUUUCUACAAGAAAAACCGCUCAACACAAU
rnacentral:lncRNA from 1 species